CACAAUUUCACUUGCAGUUACACUUGUCACGGAGAAUUGUUGCGUUGUUACAAUUAUGUGAAUACUCAUGUGUACGGGUGAAACAAUACCCUCAGUUCAGGAUUUGGUACAUAUCUCGAUAUUUUUUACAAAAUUAAAAAUGAAGCUGAAAUUCACAAAACAUUUAUUAUCAAACAAUUAACAAUUCAGUUACUUUUUUGUUGCAUAUACAACUUAAUAAAGUAUUUUAAAUAUUGUUCUGUCUGACCAACAGUUUCAACACUCUUUUAAUACUGUUUUGAAAAUCUCAGUUAUUGAUAUUCAUCUUUGGAUGAACAUGUGUGUCAUUUAUCUACUUUGAUAUGUUCUCAGCAGGUUUUGCACAACAUCAGACAGUGGCUGGACUAAAGACUUGGACAAAACCCCCUGCCCCACCUACACCAGAUCCUGCGGCUUAGCAUUUACCUGCUCCCUAUCCUAACCCUCGGCCCUGUAUCCUGGGCAAAAAGCACUGCCGCAAACGACCGAGACCUUCAUCUGACAGCUGAAGAGCCGGGAUGAAGCCAGGAGACACCAAAUGGCCAAAACCAAGAAGCAGCAAAAUAAAUGAAAUGCUCUUAUCGACAGAAAACGAAGUACUUGCUUCUAAAUUCCGUCUAACGCCAGCACUGAUCGUGGGAAAAACGCAUAGCAACAGCUCUGAGUGAAAUAAAAACGUCAACCUGUAGCUUUAUUUUAAAAUGCAGCGCAACCGUUGAAAACAUUUGAAAAAACACGCCCGCCCCAGGCGAAAACGCCUCGAUGGACACGCGGUUUAAGGAAUUGUAUAAUAUAAAAAAAACUGAAAAUGAACUCUCAUAGGCCAAAUACAGAUGGGAAGGUGGGAUCUUGUGCUCAGUGCUAGCUUGAUAUAUUGUUAGCCUCUCUAAAAUCACCUAUUCAUGUUCAUUUAAUGUGUCAACACAAAUAAUGCACUUUUACUUCUUAUCGCUGUAUCUUGUCAUUUGCAGUCAGUCAUGCGCAUGCCUGCACUUGAUUCACAAACCAUGAACGAGAUGUGCAGGAUUCUGACAGACUGUCCGGCAAAGAAUCCGUCAUCACAAUCACAUCAUCA